UGGUGGGUAGUUUGACUGGGGCGGUCUCCUCCUAAAGAGUAACGGAGGAGCACGAAGGUUGGCUAAUCCUGGUCGGACAUCAGGAGGUUAGUGCAAUGGCAUAAGCCAGCUUGACUGCGAGCGUGACGGCGCGAGCAGGUGCGAAAGCAGGUCAUAGUGAUCCGGUGGUUCUGAAUGGAAGGGCCAUCGCUCAACGGAUAAAAGGUACUCCGGGGAUAACAGGCUGAUACCGCCCAAGAGUUCAUAUCGACGGCGGUGUUUGGCACCUCGAUGUCGGCUCAUCACAUCCUGGGGCUGAAGUAGGUCCCAAGGGUAUGGCUGUUCGCCAUUUAAAGUGGUACGCGAGCUGGGUUUAGAACGUCGUGAGACAGUUCGGUCCCUAUCUGCCGUGGGCGCUGGAGAACUGAGGGGGGCUGCUCCUAGUACGAGAGGACCGGAGUGGACGCAUCACUGGUGUUCGGGUUGUCAUGCCAAUGGCACUGCCCGGUAGCUAAAUGCGGAAGAGAUAAGUGCUGAAAGCAUCUAAGCACGAAACUUGCCCCGAGAUGAGUUCUCCCUGACUCCUUGAGAGUCCUGAAG
rnacentral:rRNA from 1 species